rnacentral:piRNA from 1 species
UGUAGCAAGGAAUGUGGUGGCACGGU